rnacentral:lncRNA from 1 species
AUCUAUGCGUCCAAACAAUUUUCGAAAGUUAAAUUGAAUUUUAACUCCAAAGUCACAACACAACCGACACAACAAUUACUUAAAUGAAAUCCUUUUUUAACAAACAAAAAAACAUUCUAAUCAAAAACUAUUUAAUUACUAAAUAAAAAAAACAAAUAAUUAAUUAAACUACAAACAAAAUAAUAAAUUAAUAAAUAAUUAAUUAGUUAGCAAUUUAAAAAAUUAAUCAAGGAUUCACAAAA